rnacentral:lncRNA from 1 species
AAACAAAAAGAUGUAGGUUGCAAAUGUUACCAGCAUGUGCAGUGGUGUGUGUGUGCCUAUGUGUGUCUCUGUGUGUGCAUAUAUAUGUGGUGAGCAUAUAUAUAUAUUGUGCAGCUAGGGUGAAGCCAGCAAAGAGGUGUGUAUGUUGUUAUGAGACGUUUGAAAAGAAGCUGACUGCUUGAUAAUCAUUCUCAGGUGUAAAGCUCCAAGUGUAAAUAAAAGUGGCAUUUAACAAAUUUUUUCAGAACAAAGUCCAGCUGAUGAUCUCCAGCAAGCAGUAAGCUAAAGGAACAGCUGAGAGCCGCCGAUCUGCACACAGUGCAGAGGGGUCAGCUCUGUGCUUCACUGACUUGGAUAAGGAAGGGAUGAUGGGAAAUCAUGGAAUUAAGUAGUAUUUAAACAAAAGUGGACGUAAUAGCUCUUCUGUUUGAGUAAAGCCUUGGUGUUGCUUUAUCUUAGUUUACAUUUUUACUUUUUAAAAAGCAGCAACGGAUGCUUUUAAAGAAGUAUUGUGACUGUAGCACUGGGAAAUGUGGCCCGUGCCCCAGCUUGUUGUAGCUGUGGCAUAGAGUUGGGCAAAAGAGCGGUGAUGGACUCAUUGCAACCAUACAUACUUGAAGAGUCCAUUGACCGAAGCUCUUUAUAGACUGUUUUGUAAAUGGGGAAAUCACAGACUGUUGAACGCCGCCUGCACUCUAACGGUCCUAGAGCUGCUGGGACCUCUCCUAUCAUGUCAGACUUGGACUUUUUUCCUUCUUGUUUAAAGGACAUAAAAUCAUAGAAUCCAUAUAAUCUGUGGAGUCAUCCUGACCCACAUGUAGAUCUGUAUCUAAUAUUAUUUGGAUUUGGACAAGUGUCAAUGACAUGGCUGUGUAAUAAAAUUUUUAUUAAAAAUACCACACACUGUAGCCCCUUUGCCACUCCCCAUCUGCAGCUGCUGAAACCCUCAUGCUGAGAUGCCAAAACACGGGGCAGGGAAAAAAAGCCCACCAAAGAAGAUUGAGAGUUAACCCAGCAACUGACCUGCCUGUCUGCUGAUUCCAGUCAACAUUCAGCACCUACCUGCAGUCUCAGCUGAGGUGGGGCCUGAGCCAAGAUCUCAGCCAGUCAAUGGAACCUUAGCUUUGUCCCACCAACUGGCUUCCUGGUGGGUCACAGUUUUUCUCCUGCUGGUGAAUGCCCUCAGUGGCCUCUCCAUCACCCCAACUUCACUUCAGUGUUGAGGGGCGUAGGACCCAAAGCUGUUUUCUACUCUUUUUCAGUUCUGGGAAGUAAGAGAGUCCAUAUACCUAGCUCAUGCUGUCUGUAGAUCUGUUGUCUGGUUUCUGACAGGCACAGAGAAAGUCUGUUUUUGUUAUUUUUUUUGUGAAGUCCUGACUUCAAUCUGUAAAUAUAUUUGUAAAUAAACUCUGGCAUUUUAAUAAGG